GGUUUUCCAGGCAAAUCCGGAAAAUCAAGGCUGAGGCGUGAUGACGAGGCACUACGGUGCUGAAGCAACAAAUGCCCUGCUUCCAGGAAAAGCCUCUAAGCAUCAGGUAACAUCAAAUCGUACCCCAAACCGACACAGGUGGUCAGGUAGAGAAUACCAAGGCGCUUGAGAGAACUCGGGUGAAGGAACUAGGCAAAAUGGUGCCGUAACUUCGGGAGAAGGCACGCUGAUAUGUAGGUGAAGCGACUUGCUCGUGGAGCUGAAAUCAGUCGAAGAUACCAGCUGGCUGCAACUGUUUAUUAAAAACACAGCACUGUGCAAACACGAAAGUGGACGUAUACGGUGUGACGCCUGCCCGGUGCCGGAAGGUUAAUUGAUGGGGUUAGCGCAAGCGAAGCUCUUGAUCGAAGCCCCGGUAAACGGCGGCCGUAACGAUAACGGUCCUAAGGUAGCGAAAUUCCUUGUCGGGUAAGUUCCGACCUGCACGAAUGGCGUAAUGAUGGCCAGGCUGUCUCCACCCGAGACUCAGUGAAAUUGAACUCGCUGUGAAGAUGCAGUGUACCCGCGGCAAGACGGAAAGACCCCGUGAACCUUUACUAUAGCUUGACACUGAACAUUGAGCCUUGAUGUGUAGGAUAGGUGGGAGGCUUAGAAGUGUGGACGCCAGUCUGCAUGGAGCCGACCUUGAAAUACCACCCUUUAAUGUUUGAUGUUCUAACGUUGACCCGUAAUCCGGGUUGCGGACAGUGUCUGGUGGGUAGUUUGACUGGGGCGGUCUCCUCCUAAAGAGUAACGGAGGAGCACGAAGGUUGGCUAAUCCUGGUCGGACAUCAGGAGGUUAGUGCAAUGGCAUAAGCCAGCUUGACUGCGAGCGUGACGGCGCGAGCAGGUGCGAAAGCAGGUCAUAGUGAUCCGGUGGUUCUGAAUGGAAGGGCCAUCGCUCAACGGAUAAAAGGUACUCCGGGGAUAACAGGCUGAUACCGCCCAAGAGUUCAUAUCGACGGCGGUGUUUGGCACCUCGAUGUCGGCUCAUCACAUCCUGGGGCUGAAGUAGGUCCCAAGGGUAUGGCUGUUCGCCAUUUAAAGUGGUACGCGAGCUGGGUUUAGAACGUCGUGAGACAGUUCGGUCCCUAUCUGCCGUGGGCGCUGGAGAACUGAGGGGGGCUGCUCCUAGUACGAGAGGACCGGAGUGGACGCAUCACUGGUGUUCGGGUUGUCAUGCCAAUGGCACUGCCCGGUAGCUAAAUGCGGAAGAGAUAAGUGCUGAAAGCAUCUAAGCACGAAACUUGCCCCGAGAUGAGUUCUCCCUGACCCUUUAAGGGUCCUGAAGGAACGUUGAAGACGACGACGUUGAUAGGCCGGGUGUGUAAGCGCAGCGAUGCGUUGAGCUAACCGGUACCAAUGAACCGUGAGGCUUAACCU
rnacentral:rRNA from 1 species